rnacentral:rRNA from 1 species
GCGAAUGUGGUGCCAGCGGCGGGGGUAAUAGGUAUGCGGGAAGCGUUGUUCGGAGUUUCUGGGCGUAAAGGGUGUGUAGGCGGUUGUUUAAGUUUGGUGUGAAAUCUCCCGGCUCAACUGGGAGGGUGCGCCGAAUACUGAAUGACUAGAGUGCGGGAGAGGAGAGUGGAAUUCCUGGUGUAGCGGUGAAAUGCGUAGAUAUCAGGAGGAACACCGGUGGUGUAGACGGCUCUCUGGACCGUAACUGACGCUGAGACACGAAAGCGUGGGUAGCAAACAGGAUUAGAUACCCCAGUAGUC